GACGAACGCUGGCGGCGUGCUUAACACAUGCAAGUCGAACGGAAAGGCCCUGCUUUUGUGGGGUGCUCGGGUGGCGAACGGGUGAGUAACACGUGAGUAACCUGCCCUUGACUUUGGGAUAACUUCAGGAAACUGGGGCUAAUACCGGAUAGGAGCUCCUGCUGCAUGGUGGGGGUUGGAAAGUUUCGGCGGUUGGGGAUGGACUCGCGGCUUAUCAGCUUGUUGGUGGGGUAGUGGCUUACCAAGGCUUUGACGGGUAGCCGGCCUGAGAGGGUGACCGGCCACAUUGGGACUGAGAUACGGCCCAGACUCCUACGGGAGGCAGCAGUGGGGAAUAUUGCACAAUGGGCGGAAGCCUGAUGCAGCAACGCCGCGUGCGGGAAGACGGCCUUCGGGUUGUAAACCGCUUUCGCCUGUGACGAAGCGUGAGUGACGGUAAUGGGUAAAGAAGCACCGGCUAACUAC
rnacentral:rRNA from 1 species